CGCAUAAUCAAUGACAGUAGCCCCCUUUGGGAGAUGUUUUAUCUCUCCUCCAGGUGUAAACACAAAGACACGACUGCCCAACAGAUCUCUGGUAAUAGUGUCCACAAAUUCCCUAGAACUCAUGUUUCCAACGAACUCUUCUUGCCACUCCCUAAUUGCAUUCAGCCAGCCAAUCCUGAGAGCAAUAUUGGCAUUGUUAAGGCAGACUAUUUUCCCUCCAGAAUUUUUAUCAUUGGUUAUAACAUGCCCAACUAAACCAUUUACAAAACCUUUCCCACUAUAAUGUGCAGCAAUGCCUCUUUCAGCUAUGAGGUCCAUCUCUUCAGUUCUUAUCUGAACCUCCAAACGAAACAUGCUCUUCAUACAACUGUGAUUCCAUUUCUUUA
rnacentral:misc_RNA from 1 species